AGUGAACGCUGGCGGUAGGCCUAACACAUGCAAGUCGAACGGCAGCACAGUAAGAGCUUGCUCUUACGGGUGGCGAGUGGCGGACGGGUGAGGAAUACAUCGGAAUCUACUUUUUCGUGGGGGAUAACGUAGGGAAACUUACGCUAAUACCGCAUACGACCUACGGGUGAAAGCAGGGGAUCUUCGGACCUUGCGCGAUUGAAUGAGCCGAUGUCGGAUUAGCUAGUUGGCGGGGUAAAGGCCCACCAAGGCGACGAUCCGUAGCUGGUCUGAGAGGAUGAUCAGCCACACUGGAACUGGGACACGGUCCAGACUCCUACGGGAGGCCGCAGUGUGGAAUAUUUGACAGUGGGCGCAAGCCUGAUCCAGCCAUACCGCGUGGGUGAAGAAGGCCUUCGGGUUGUAAAGCCCUUUUGUUGGGAGAGAAAAGCAGCAGGUUAAUACCCCGCUGUUCUGACGGUACCCAAAGAAUAAGCACCGGCUAACUUCGUG
rnacentral:rRNA from 1 species